rnacentral:hammerhead_ribozyme from 1 species
AUCUAGCUGACAAGUCCCAACUAGGACGAAACGCGCAUCCUGGAU